UGUGUAGGUGGCGCCGUAAGUCGGGUGUGAAAUUUCGGAGCUUAACUCCGAAACUGCAUUCGAUACUGCGGUGCUUGAGGACUGGAGAGGAGACUGGAAUUCAUGGUGUAACAGUGAAAUGCGUAGAGAUCAUGAGGAAGACCAGUGGCGAAGGCGGGUCUCUGGACAGUUCCUGACACUGAGACACGAAGGCCAGGGGAGCAAACG
rnacentral:rRNA from 1 species